rnacentral:rRNA from 1 species
AGCGAACGCUGGCGGCAGGCUUAACACAUGCAAGUCGAACGCCCCGCAAGGGGAGUGGCAGACGGGUGAGUAACACGUGGGAACGUACCCUUUGGUUCGGAAUAACUUGGGGAAACUCAAGCUAAUACCGGAUAAGUCCUUAUGGGGAAAGGUUUACUGCCGAAGGAUCGGCCCGCGUCUGAUUAGCUAGUUGGUGAGGUAAUGGCUCACCAAGGCGACGAUCAGUAGCUGGUCCGAGAGGAUGAUCAGCCACACUGGCACUGAGACACGGCCCAGACUCCUACGGGAGGCAGCAGUGGCGAAUAUUGGACAAUGGGGGCAACCCUGAUCCAGCCAUGCCGCGUGAGUGAUGAAGGCCUUAGGGUUGUAAAGCUCUUUUACCCGGGACGAUAAUGACUGUACCGGGAGAAUAAGCCCCGGCUAACUUCGUGCCAGCCGCCGCGGUAA